AAAACCAAAGCCUAGAAAGGACACCAACCGACAUCGUUGGUUGAUGGGUUUCUUUGAUUCAUUGCUUCAUUCAUCGCACUGAGUGCGUACACGCCAACCUAGGUUGGGCCCAAGGGGCAUGGCCAUUGUCAGGAGCAUCCGCUGGUCACUGCUGUCUCCCCGUUUGGAUCGCCUCUGGUCCUUCUUUCCGCUGACUCUCUUCUCCCAGGGUAGGAGACUUCACAUCAGAUCCUCUUAGACUUCUGCACCCAUCCCCACAUCAGUGGGGCUUCAGUUGAUAGCC